UCAACCAUUUUCUCCCAGUUUUAUGUGGGUACACGGGAGAUGAGAAUUUUGAUCCUGGGAUUGAGAUGGAGCAGGAAAAACAACCAUUCUCUACAGUUACAAGUUGGUGAAGUUGGUGACUACCAUUCCUACAAUUGGUUUCAACGUUGAGACAGUAACAUACAAGAAUCUGAAGUUUCAAGUCUGGGACUUGGGAGGGCAACAAGCAUCAGGCCAUAUUGGAGAUGUUACUAUUCUAAUACGGAUGCAGUCACUAUGUAGUGGACAC